AAGUGGUGAGAAGAUGUCGAUGAUGCCUACUUGGGACAUUCAAAUCAACACAACAUAAAAAUUUCUGAACCUAUGUCUCAAAGGAGAUUGGAAUGAACUCCAUUGUUAGCAGAUGUCCCAUUGUUCUCUUGUGCAAUUUUGUCCGUUCUUACUAUAUUCCUGUGUAAGGAAAUGUAUUCGUGAGAUGAGUUAUUGUGUUAUGUAAACCUGGGAGAUGUAUUAUGCGAUGUUAUAUGAUGGAUGAUAUUAAUU
rnacentral:lncRNA from 1 species